UGGAUAAGGCAUGCAAGUCGAGCGAUCUGUCGCAAGACAGGGAGCGGCAAACGGGGUAGUAAUAAGUUAGUAACCUACCUUCAAGAUUCGCAUAACCCACCGAAAGGUGGGCUAAUUCGAAAUGGCCUGAUAUUUGUACUUCAUUUAUCAGUAAAGGCAUUCGCGAGAAUGUCGCUUGGAGAAGGGCUGACUUCCUAUCAGCUAGUUGGCGAGGUAAGGGCUCACCAAGGCUAUGACGGGUAGGGGGCGUGAGAGCGUGUUCCCCACCAUCGGAACUGAGACACUGUCCGGACUCCUACGGGAGGCUGCAGUCAAGAACCUUCCCCAAUGGGCGAAAGCCUGAGGGAGCGACGCCGCGUGAACGAAGAAGUCCUUCGGGAUGUAAAGUUC
rnacentral:rRNA from 1 species